rnacentral:misc_RNA from 1 species
CACGUAGGUGGCAAGCGUUGUCCGGAAUUAUUGGGCGUAAAGAGCUCGUAGGCGGUUCGGCAAGUCGGGUGUGAAACCUCAGGGCUCAACCCUGAGCGGUCAUCCGAUACUGCCGUGACUAGAGUGCGGUAGGGGAGCGGGGAAUUCCUGGUGUAGUGGUGGAAUACGCAGAUAUCAGGAGGAACACCAGUGGCGAAGGCGCCGCUCUGGGCCGUAACUGACGCUGAGGAGCGAAAGCGUGGGUAGCAAACAGG